GGUCUUUAGUUUUUAAUUUAAGAUCGGGCCUGCCCAUUGAUUAAUAAAUUAAAAGGCUGCGGUAUUUUAACUGUACGAAGGUAGCAUAAUCACUUGUCUUUUAAUUGGAGGCUAGAAUGAAUGGUUUGAUGAAAAAUAAGCUUUCUUUUUUCAAUUAUAAUUGAACUUAAUUUUUUAGUUAAAAAGCUAAAAUUUUUUUAUAGGACGAGAAGACCCUAUAGAAGUUUACUUAAUUAGUAAUUUUUUAUUUUAUGUUUUUAAAAUAAUUUUUUAUAAACUUAAGUUUUGUUGGGGUGACAUUAAAAUUAAUUUAACUUUUAAUUAUUUUUUCAUUAAUUAGUGUUUUUUUUGAUCCAAAAUUUUUGAUUAUAUGUUUAACUUACCUUAGGGAUAACAGCGUAAUUUUUUCGGAGAGAUCAUAUUGAUGAAUAAAGUUUGCGA
rnacentral:rRNA from 1 species